UGCUCUGUGAGGCUGAACUUCUCUGGAUCAUCAGUGUUCUGACGUCGGCGGCACCGACCGGAGACUUGACCCUGCGAGGAUCUUUGCACUCCUCCCCGGGUUCGUCCGAAACUGCUGCCGUCAUUUAGUUUAAGAGCGUUUUGACCCCCGACUGAGGGACAAGCUCACACAGCCAGAGGUAAUGUGUUUUUACGUGGUCGAGUUUACAUCAUGUUCUUAAAAUGUCUAAAGUUUUUAUUCAUACUUCACGGUGACAUUUGAUAAGCCCGAAUCAUCAAUUUAACAUUGUGUGUAAAUCGGGACAUCAGCAGACUGCUUUCAUAAAUGACUUUAUAGAUGAAUUUAUACACUUUAUUGACCAAAUGCUGAAUCUGAACACAACUGCACAGGGAGGAAACUAAUCUGGCUUAAUAUUCUCUCUUUAUCCAAUUAGCUUUCUUACUUCUCAGCCAAGUUUAUAAUCUGAUAAAUCGUUUUAAUCGCACUGAUACCGACCCACUGCACGACCCCUAUAGCCACACAGCUAACUAGCUUGUGAGCUAGCGGUGCACACAUUCCACGUCACCUGGGGGCGGGGGGGGGUUCAGGUCCAACUGUAUUCUGAUUGAAACCUCGCGCCCCCUUUUAAAAGUUGAACUAUUUGUUUUUUUACAUUACAGGUCAUUUAGCUGACGCUUUUAUCCAAAGCGACUUGCAUUGCAUUUUUUAACCCAUGGCGUUUUACAUUGUUGCCCGGGGAGCAAUUCGGGGUUAACCACCAACCUUGCGGUUCCCAGUGCACCAUCCCUACCCAUGCGUCACGCGAGCCGAGUUCUAAUGCCAGACAGGCGACCGCUGCUAACUUUUGAUUUAAAGCACGAUCCAGAAUCUUUACUCCGCUGACGUCAGCGAUGAAACUCCAGUUAACUUCAGUUUAGUAGUUUCACUUUAAUUGCGAUUUAACGGUUUGUGUCUCAUUUAAUAAAUCUGAAGUAAACCGUAAAAACUGUUUUGACUCAGUAUUUAUUUGUAAUGUAUUCUUUAGCAACAUAGUUUUUUUCCCUCUAACAAUUUUAGGAUCCAAAUGUUAAAGUGUGAAAAACUUCUUCAUGCAAAUCCGCUGUUGAUCAUGCAACAUUGUUGAUUUUUGAUACAUUCAAACCGCUCUGAUUUAAUUUCGAUAUUGUUUUAGCAUCAGUGAUGUUGGUUGUACAGGACCUGUCUGACAUCCGUGACCUUUGACCCCCAGUGCCACGGUCAUGUGGAAGCUGGAAGUCGGUGACAUUUUGCACACUUUGUAUGACCAACUCCUCAAUAUGUUGUGAAAUGUUGAAUAUUUUUUCGAUGUUUUUUUAUUUUUGAGCUAAAAAAAGAAGGUAUGAAGCUGACCGACAAAGGGUCUUUGUUGUAAUCGUUUGUACCGGUGUGUGCGGCAGAGGAGGUAUUUCAUACCUUCGGUUCGUUGUAAAGUCCUUAAUCGAUCUGAAAAGGUUUCCUAACUCGUUCUCUCAGGUGAUUUCUCAGUGGCCCGGAAUGUUCUUAAUGAAUUAUGAUAUUCAGAAAUGUGAAGCGAUGUAUUUCUCAUGUCAUGUUUCUAAAAGUCUGAUAUAAUUUGUACUGUUAAAAUAUUAAAA
ensembl:lncRNA